rnacentral:ncRNA from 1 species
UACAUUUGCAGCCGCAAUGGUUUAGCUACAACUUUUCAAGGGUAGUUAACGAAGAGGGAAUCAGGUGAAAAUCCUGAGCAAGCCCGUUACUGUAAGUUCCAUGCAACAUUUUGACUGAUCUGCUUUUAUGCGAUCUUAUCUUUUGCCACUGCAUUUUAUAAAUGUGGGAAGGCGGUUCAAAAUGGGAAUAAGUCAGGAGACCUGCCACUGCCUAUUAAUUCGA